AGCAGCCGCGGUAAUUCCAGCUCCAAUAGCGUAUAUUAAAGUUGUUGCAGUUAAAAAGCUCGUAGUUGAAUUUCGGGAUCAGUUGGUCGGUCGUGCUUCGGUACGUACUGGUCAAAUUGAUUCCUACCUUCUGACGAACCACGAUGUCAUUAAUUUGGUGUCGCGGGAAAUCAGGACUGUUACUUUGAAAAAUUAGAGUGUUUAAAGCAGGCUCGCGCUUGAAUACAUUAGCAUGGAAUAAUGAAAUAGGACGUUUGAUUCUAUUUUGUUGGUUUCUAGGAUCGACGUAAUGAUUAAUAGGGAUAGUUGGGGGCAUUAGUAUUCAAUUGUCAGAGGUGAAAUUCUUGGAUUUAUUGAAGACUAACUACUGCGAAAGCAUUUGCCAAGGAUGUUUUCAUUAAUCAAGAACGAAAGUUAGGGGAUCGAAGACGAUCAGAUACCGUCGUAGUCUUAACCAUAAACUAUGCCGACUAGGGAUCGGAUGGUGUUAAUUUUUUAAUGUACUCA
rnacentral:rRNA from 1 species